rnacentral:rRNA from 1 species
CGGCACGCCUAACACAUGCAAGUCGAACGAAGUAGCAAUACUUAGUGGCAGACGGGUGAGUAACAUGUAGGUAUCUGCCCUUUGGCCUGGAAUAACACGAGGAAACUUGUGCUAAUACUGGAUAAGUCUUCACAGAGAAAGCUUUAUGCACCAUUGGAUGAGCCUGCACUUGAUUAGUUUGUUGGUAGGGUAAUGGCCUACCAAGACUGUGAUCAAUAGCUGAUUUGAGAGGAUGAUCAGCCACAUUGGGACUGAGACACGGCCCAAACUCCUACGGGAGGCAGCAGUGGGGAAUCUUGCACAAUGGAGGAAACUCUGAUGCAGCGAUGCCGCGUGAGUGAAGAAGGCCCUUGGGUUGUAAAGCUCUUUCGUCGGGGAAGAAAAUGACUGUACCCGAAUAAGAAGGUCCGG